GGUGGCUCAGUGGAAGAGUACUUGCCUCUCAUGCAUGAGGACCUGGGUUCGAGUCCUCAGCACCA
rfam:Dipodomys ordii contig_8486, whole genome shotgun sequence.